CAGGGAUUCUUCGAAUCAAACAGCCCUGCUCGGUCCGUGCGCUUGGGUCCGAACCACACUUCCCCACGUAACAGAAGCAUUAAGGUCCUAUUUACUGGAACUGGAACCUCCAAAAACGACCCAGAGCCUCAUUCCUGCUUCCUUCAUCAUGUCCUAAUAAACACUGGUACUGAAAAAAAGUAAGUGAA